GGUGCUUGUACUGCCUUCCAAAGUGAAGAGGAGAUGAACAUGGCUUUGCAUAGCUGUUGUCCUAUGCCAACUUACCUACUCUUGCUGGUACCGUAGUGGCAUAUUGCAAAUUUCGUGGACGAACAACUCUAGUCACUAGUGGCUAGUGAGCAACACUAACAGAGCCUUGACGUUGCUGGACGAGCGACAAUAUAAAUUACAUAAACAUGUAGCUCGUGAUGUGGGAUGACUGCCGUAUCGCAUUGCCAACGCAAACCCAUCCUGUGUCAGUGCAGCCAUCCAGCAACUUGAACUCCCCGGACCAGAUGCCGCUGCAGCUGAACACCAUGCCGAUGGAAAGCCAGGAGUUGAUAGCGAAGCAUUCUGGUCUGCACGGUACAAGGCAAAGAACAAUUAUGAAUUAUAAUGCAUUGUAAUCUUUCCCACACUUCUUUGUGAAAACAAACAAACAGUGCCAUUAUCACAACACUUGAUCAAGCAUCUUGAUGGAGGUAUUUUCCAUUGUGCUGGCUCAGCAUCUGCACCAGGAAGACCAUGUACACUUACACGUA